GUAAAUGUCUCACAUCCAUUAUUAUGCUAUGUCUUAUUGCUGGCAUUUGGUUGCAAUGUACUUGUUUUCUGUUACCUAAAUGUUGCAAAAAGUAAUCUUUCUUAACUCGGGACACAUGAUUCUGGUUGGAUCUAUUUGAGAUCGAAUUAACAUUGUACUGAUGGUUCAUAGAGGUAAUUGAUCACUGUACCUGCAUAAGCAUGAAACUGUUUCUUGGUCUAGCUGCAAUGAUCAACCAUAUUGUUUGUUGGCUGAGAUCACAAUAUUGGGCAGUUUGAGUUUAUGUAGUUGAAGUGGUGAUUUGGAAAGAUUCAGUCUCACUGUACCUGGCUGAUAUUAUUCAUUUGUUGGUUUGGGAUUCGGUUUAACUUUGAUUGUUUGGAACCUUAAUUGUAUGUGAGGUCAAGUUGAUUAUUGUUAUGUCCUCUUAGAAUGCUACCUAUAAAAUGAUUGUGGACUUAAAAUUUAUAAACCUGA
rnacentral:misc_RNA from 1 species